rnacentral:rRNA from 1 species
UACAGAGGUCUCGAGCGUUAGGCGGAAUCACUGGGCUUAAAGCGUGUGUAGGCGGAUCGGUAAGUACCUUGUGAAAUCCCACAGCUUAACUGCGGAACUGCUUGGUAUACUGCCAGUCUUGAGCCACUUAGGGGUUACCGGAACAAAUGGUGGAGCGGUGAAAUGCGUAGAUAUCAUUUGGAACGCCAAUGGUGAAAACAGGUAGCUGGGAGUGUGCUGACGCUGAGACACGAAAGCCAGGGGAGCAAACGGG